rnacentral:tRNA from 1 species
GGGGCGUUAGCUCAGUUGGCUAGAGCGCUAGGCUGGCAGUCUCGAGGUCAUGGGUUCGACUCCCAUACGCUCCA